AGUUGGGGAUUAAUUAACCUAGGCACAAAAGACCUAGGUAUAAAGUUGGUUGUGUCCCACGAGCACAGUGUCUUCACGAGCGCCGCCUCACUUCGUCCUUCACGCUGCGCCGACCUCGAUCGGACACCUCACCGAACUCCGAUCUCCGACAUAGUGGUCCAUCGGUUUGGUGAGCUCAUGGAAAUCUCGCGGGCAGGUGUAGAGGCUAGCGGCGAUUCACCGGCGGCUACAUUUGAGGGGAGACGCGGAAGGGAAGGCAAGUUCAAUCUUUAGGCUAACUGCGAUAUCUGUGAGGUGAGGAUGACUUCUAGGAUAUGCCGGAAGGCCCUCGGAUGCAGUAGACGAGGAGGCGGGAUGGACGCAUGGUUUUGUCUGUUGUCCGGGAGUGCAGAGUCUACUGGGUUUAUUGCGAGAGAUUUUCUUUAUUUCCUUUCUUAUCAUUUGGGUGGUAAACUGUUGAAGAGUUAAUGUUUAACUUGAUAAACCUACUUUGUUACUGUUGUGUCUAUUGGGGUAUGAUAAAUUCUUGUUGGUAUUGCCUUAUGAUCA